CUCUGGAAAAAAAUCACUCCGGCGAUUUGUUGUGGUUCCUCUAUUUCAGAAACUAUGUGCUAAAGUGCGUCCAAUGGAAUUUCCCCCGAAAUAGACGUCAUAGUCGAAAAAUGCCCAUUUAGUACAUUCCCCCAUAGCUCUAUGCACUCCCCCACUACCACUCGACCCACCCCUAGAUGGACCCUCCCACUUUAUAUAAGCUCGGUCCACCGGUGUCCGCCAUUUCAUUCUUGCAAGCCUUGGAAACACUUGGAUUAGCUAACUAGCAGCAUGAAUCGGUGGUCGGCUGCAAACAUGUUUUUAUGUGACUCCAGCUUCAGAAGACACAAGAUUGAGAUGGAUUGAGUUCAUAUAUGAUGGCAACGUUCCUGCCACCACUUUGAAUCGGACUGUUUUAUCAACUGGGCCAAUAUAACGCUGGAUUCUCUAAAAGGUUGUUAUUGAAAGAGGGGUCGGUGCCAUCUUUCCAUGGCAAUACUGAAGACGAGGGAAAUGCAAGCACAUCUGUUCACGGUGCUAGGCUACAUCACGUAGCAUGCCAGACGGACCCACCAAAGAUGCGCACACAUGGAACGCAGCUUUCUAUGAAAACACUGCGACCUCACUACAAAAGUACAGGCACACAGAAAACUGUGCUGCACUGAUGUCGGUGUUGGGACCUCAGCUGUAAGAGACCUUGCUUGGAGGAGGGAGAGGACAAGAUGUGACAUUACAUGGAUAACCUGUUGGACCUCAUCUUUCAUGAGGUUUUUCAGGACCCGGCCCCAUAUGUGAAUGAGGUGCUGAAGAUCUCAAAACCUGAGGAUCUCUCUGCCUAGUAUGAGAAACCUGACAAGCAGGAAGUUAUAGCCAGCUAUGUGUCGAGUUUCAAUCAAGGGCAGGUCUGAACCCUAUAUAACUUCCCUGAGCAUCAGGGAACACUCUGCGUAUCUGGAGCACCGAGCAGGAGGGCAGGACCACCCUGAUUCUCCGGCCCAGAGGGCCUCAACACCAGCUCACAAAGCUUCUGUACGCCAAAUACCUAUAACGGCUGAGCAAAGUUCACAUUGUAUUUAGAGAAUAAAAGGUGACACACAAAUAUAAAGUGUUCCUUUGUUUACAGUAUAGCUACUGAUGGCACAAAUUGCAUUUUUGUAAUGAAUGUAUUUAUUAUACUUGGUAUUUUUUGUAUUUAUUACCUCUGUCCCAGCCAGUACAUUUAAUAACUGAUUAAAAAGCUCUGUGGCAAUCUUUCUAGCAAUCUUUCUGACAAUAAAAGUUUAUAGAAACAGUUGUGUGCUUUUAAUGUUUGAUAUGUAACAUGUCAACAAUUGACACGUGUAAGAUGAGCAGUUAGCAAAGUAAUACAGAGGGAAGAGUAAUUUAUGUAUUUUAUUCCUCAGUCAUAAUUUUAUUGCAGAAAUGACUGAUAUCUCAUGCAUAAAAAAAAAAAAACUUACUGCUCUAUUCCUUUUAGACAUAAAGGCCCAUAAUCUGCCCUAUAGAUGUUGAAGAACACAU